AUAUUGGACAAUGGGGGCAACCCUGAUCCUGACAUGCCGCGUGUGUGUAGUAGGUCUUCGGAUUGUAAAGCUCAUUAAGUUGGAAGGAAGGGUUUUCGGUUAAUACCCUGAAGAUUUGACGUUACCAACAGAAUAAGCACCGGCUAACUCCGCGCCGUCAGCCACGGUAAUACAUAGGAUGCCAGCGUUAAUCGGAAUUACUGGGCGCAAAGCGAGCGUAGGUAGUUCAGUAAGAGUGGUGUGAAAUCCCCGGGCUUAACCUGGGAAGUGCUGUCAUAACUGAUGAGGUAGAGUACGGUAGAGAGUAGUGGAAUUUCCUGUGUAGCGGUGAAAUGAGUAGAUAUAGGAAGGAACGCCAGUGGCGAAGGCGACUAGCUAGACUGAUACUGACACUGAGGUGCGAAAGCGUGGAGAGCAAACA
rnacentral:rRNA from 1 species